rnacentral:rRNA from 1 species
CGUGGAGGAUGACGCAUUUCGGUGUGUAAACUCCUUUUACGAGUCAAGAAAAUGACGGUAGCUCGUGAAUAAGCACCGGCUAACUCCGUGCCAGCAGCCGCGGUAAUACGGAGGGUGCAAGCGUUACUCGGAAUCACUGGGCGUAAAGGACGCGUAGGCGGGAAGCCAAGUCUGAUGUGAAAUCCUAUGGCUUAACCAUAGAACUGCAUUGGAAACUGGUUACCUAGAGCAUGGGAGGGGGAGAUGGAAUUAGUGGUGUAGGGGUAAAAUCCGUAGAUAUCACUAGGAAUACCGAAAGCGAAGGCGAUCUCCUGGAACAAUACUGACGCUAAGGCGUGAAAGCGUGGGGAGCAAACGGGAUUAGAUACCCCGGUAGUCCACGCCCUAAACGAUGAACACUAGUCGUCGGAAUGCUAGUCAUUUCGGUGAUGCACUUAACAGAUUAAGUGUUCCGCCUGGGGAGUACGGUCGCAAGAUUA